CCUACGGGUGGCAGCAGUGAGGAAUAUUGGUCAAUGGGCGCGAGCCUGAACCAGCCAAGCAGCGUGAAGGAUGACUGCCCUACGGGUUGUAAACUUCUUUUAUAAAGGAAUACAGUGAGGCACGUGUGCCUUUAUGUCUGUACUUUAUGAAUUAGGAUCGGCUAACUCCGUGCCAGCAGCCGCGGUAAUACGGAGGUUCCGAGCGUUAUCCGGAUUUAUUGGGUUUAAAGGGAGCGUAGAUGGGUUGUUAAGUCAGUUGUGAAAGUUUGCGGCUCAACCGUAAAAUUGCAAUUGAUACUGGCAGUCUUGAGUACAGUUGAGGUAGGCGGAAUUCGUGGUGUAGCGGUGAAAUGCUUAGAUAUCACGAAGAACUCCGAUUGCGAAGGCAGCUUACUAAACUGCCACUGACAUUGAUGCGCGAAAGUGUGGGUAUCAAACAGGAUUAGAUACCCGUGUAGUC
rnacentral:rRNA from 1 species